rnacentral:rRNA from 1 species
CCUACGGGAGGCUGCAGUGGGGAAUAUUGGGCAAUGGACGCACGUCUGACCCAGCAACGCCGCGUGAAGGAAGAAUGCUUUCGGGUUGUAAACUUCUUUUAAGGGGGAAGAGCAGAAGACGGUACCCCUUGAAUAAGCCACGGCUAACUACGUGCCAGCAGCCGCGGUAAUACGGAGGUGGCAAGCUUUGUCCGGAUUUACUGGGGGUAAAGGGCGUGCAGCCGGGGAGACAAGUCAGAUGUGAAAUCCACGGGCUCAACCCGUGAACUGCAUUUGAAACUGUUUCCCUUGAGUGUCGGAGAGGUAAGCGGAAUGCCUGGUGUAGCGGUGAAAUGCGUAGAUAUAAGGAAGAACACCAGUGGCGAAGGCGGAUUACUGGACGAUAACUGACGGUGAGGCGCGAAAGCGUGGGGAGCAAACAGGAUUAGAUACCCCUGUAGUC